rnacentral:lncRNA from 1 species
UUUUCCAGAUCCCCUUUUGUUGCAAGUUCAGGGAGUCCAGGUGGUUGUGUAUCAGAGUGUCCCAUCUUUCCCUUUGCCAGGAGCAGUGGGAUGGUGGCUCAGAAGUCCCUACCUCUGUGUCGGGAGUGAUGGGACAGAUGAUGGCCCAAAAGCCCUUUCCUCUGGGCUGGGAGCAACGGGGCUAUUUUUCCAUUUUAAAGGAAACUAGAGAUCAGAGGUUAUAGAACUACUCCAAGGUCACAUAGCAGCAGGGGGCUAAAAUAGGAUUGAAUCCCAGGCUGUCAGAUUGGAAGCCUACCUCUAACCUUCAUGCUAUACCAUAUCUCACUUCCAAGAUAUUUACAUUUGAAGAGAUUCAAUACAGUGAACUAUUUAGCUGAAAAUACCAUAAAAAUGAGCCUUUUGGGCAUAAGGAACAGACUUCCAUUAACUUCAGUGCUCAGCCUGCAUUUAAAGAUUUCUCUCAGGUAGCCUUCUCCUUAGCCUUGGGCGAAAGCUGCCCCUGACCAUGUUACUGGGACAGGAUUGUACAAUCAUCCUCCCCAACCCGGGGCCAUGUUUCUGUGUUGGUUCUUCAAGCUGCUUCUUCACUUCCUCUUGCCCUCAGCCACACUACAGAUCUGCUACUGGCUUCUGACUUCACUGCCUGCCUUAGAAGUGGCAAGCCAAGCAAUCACUUGCUCAACCUUCCUGAGAGCCAGUGAUGGAAAAGAGAAGCAACUCUGGAGCAUGGAACACAAAAGUUUUGGGAGGGACUUCCCAUUGAGGUUCUUUCUUUCCCUGGAGACUCAAUGAUUUUAUGUCUAGUGGUUCAUAAGUUACAAGAUAUCUGGAAUUAGGUGGUAAGUAUUUUUCUUUCUUUAGUAUGAGUCUAUAAAACCUCAGCAGUUUGUAUUUGAAGGCAAUCAAAACUAAAUGGAGCCUUGGAUAAUUGGCUCUCUCUUCUAAUGUUUCCAUAAAAACAAAAUAGU